AAAUUGAAGAGUUUGAUCAUGGCUCAGAUUGAACGCUGGCGGCAGGCCUAACACAUGCAAGUCGAACGGUAACAGGAAGCAGCUUGCUGCUUCGCUGACGAGUGGCGGACGGGUGAGUAAUGUCUGGGAAACUGCCUGAUGGAGGGGGAUAACUACUGGAAACGGUGGCUAAUACCGCAUAACGUCGCAAGACCAAAGAGGGGGACCUUCGGGCCUCUUGCCAUCAGAUGUGCCCAGAUGGGAUUAGCUGGUUGGUGAGGUAACGGCUCACCAAGGCGACGAUCCCUAGCUGGUCUGAGAGGAUGACCAGCCACACUGGAACUGAGACACGGUCCAGACUCCUACGGGAGGCAGCAGUGGGGAAUAUUGCACAAUGGGCGCAAGCCUGAUGCAGCCAUGCCGCGUGUAUGAAGAAGGCCUUCGGGUUGUAAAGUACUUUCAGCGGGGAGGAAGGUG
rnacentral:rRNA from 2 species